rnacentral:lncRNA from 1 species
CCAUCAUUGAGGUAUGCUUCGUAAUGCACGGUCUUGGAUCGUCGAAGAGGACAACGGCUGAUCUCAAAUCGGUGGAAAAAAUAAUGGCCGACCGUGAGUCGCCGAUAACCUCAGUUGGUAAGCUUAUCGGAUGCAGUCAUUUUGGACUCUGGGUCUUUUCACUAAUUCAGCCAGUUCGAAAUUUCUCCCAACAAUGUCCAUCUUUUCAAGCACCA